rnacentral:rRNA from 1 species
UAGUCAUAUGCUUGUCUCAAAGAUUAAGCCAUGCAUGUCUAAGUAUAAAUGGAUUAUACAGUGAAACUGCGAAUGGCUCAUUAAAUCAGUUAUAGUUUAUUUGAUAAUACCUUUUACUUGGAUAACCGUAAUAAUUUUAGAGCUAAUACAUGCGUGAAAGUGCGACUUUUGUGGAAGCACUGUAUUUAUUAGAUACAAAACCAAUCGAGCUUGCUCGUUACCUUGGUGAUUCAUAAUAACUAAACGAAUCGUAUGACUUUAUGUCGACGAUGAUUCAUUCAAAUUUCUGCCCUAUCAACUUUCGAUGGUAAGGUAUUGGCUUACCAUGGUUACAACGGGUGACGGAGAAUUAGGGUUCGAUUCCGGAGAGGGAGCCUGAGAAACGGCUACCACUUCUACGGAGGGCAGCAGGCGCGCAAAUUACCCAAUCCUGACUCAGGGAGGUAGUGACGAAUAAUAACGAUACGUGACUUCGGUCUAGUAAUUGGAAUGAGUACGAUUUAAACCCCUUAAUGAAUUCCAUU